UUAAUCCAUCUCUUUAAUUUUCUCUUUUACAGCACUUCUAAACUGCGAGAUUGAAAACCCAGCCUUUAGAGAUCAGUUGGAGUUUUGCCAUUGACAUCAAUGAAACCUGGGCUCUCUCCUUUUUCCUGGUAAAUUACAUUGUCCUGAACGCUGAGAUCUUACUACUGCAUGUAGAGCUCAAUACAAGAGAGGUGCUGCGCUUCUCAAACGCCAUUUGUGACGUUAAUAUGAACACGAUGGGCAGCGCUUACACGACGAGGCUUCGGAAGCAGCAUCGUAUAGAGGUCUGCAGCAAGUCUUUAACCAAGAUUUUUGUGGAACACGGGUGUGAAGGAUACUGUGUGUGUGGAUAGAUUCCAAGAGACUCUAAAAGGCCUACAUGAAGUGUGAAGGAUAUCUGUUCUCUUCUAAUUGACGUGAAGUUCGCGGUGCCUCAUUUCUUCUCAAGGCCUGUGUUACCUCCUGCACCUUCACCACCUCUUUGCUUGUCUCAUUCAUUCUUAAGAGCAUAUGGGAUAUUGAAAUUAAAACCAAUUUCAUCCUACCUUAAGGGAAUUUGAAGUGGACUACGUACCCUUUCAUUCUUCCAAGUGAUAUCCUAGGUGGUCUACAGCUGUAUGAAUUUAAGGGAGAACAGCACAGUGUUUGGAAAAGUUGGCCUUUCCCUAAAGGUUUGCUACAUCAUGGAAAAUGGAAGAUUUUUUUCCUUCAGUCCAUGGAGAAGAACGGCAGCACCAUGCCCUUCAGCUACAACUCCCAUGAGGCACU